AUUGAACGCUGGCGGCAGGCCUAACACAUGCAAGUCGAGCGGAUGAAGGGAGCUUGCUCCUGGAUUCAGCGGCGGACGGGUGAGUAAUGCCUAGGAAUCUGCCUGGUAGUGGGGGAUAACGUCCGGAAACGGGCGCUAAUACCGCAUACGUCCUGAGGGAGAAAGUGGGGGAUCUUCGGACCUCACGCUAUCAGAUGAGCCUAGGUCGGAUUAGCUAGUUGGUGGGGUAAAGGCCUACCAAGGCGACGAUCCGUAACUGGUCUGAGAGGAUGAUCAGUCACACUGGAACUGAGACACGGUCCAGACUCCUACGGGAGGCAGCAGUAGGGAAUAUUGGGCAAUGGGCGAAAGCCUGACGGAGCCAUGCCGCGUGAGUGAAGAAGGUCUUCGGAUUGUAAAGCACUGUUAGUUGGGAAGAAGGAAUGUGAAUGAAAACAUUGCUGUCUUGACGGUACCAACUGAGAAAGCAACGGCUAACUACGUG
rnacentral:rRNA from 1 species